rnacentral:rRNA from 1 species
UACGGAGGAUGCAAGCGUUAUCCGGAAUUAUUGGGCGUAAAGCGUCCGUAGGUGGCUUUACAAGUCAGCUGUUAAAGCGUGGAGCUUAACUCCAUAAAAGCAGUGGAAACUACACGGCUAGAGUGCGUUCGGGGCAGAGGGAAUUCCUGGUGUAGCGGUGAAAUGCGUAGAGAUCGGGAAGAACAUCGGUGGCGAAGGCGCUCUGCUGGACCAUAACUGACACUCAGGGACGAAAGCUAGGGGAGCGAAUGGG